rnacentral:ncRNA from 20 species
AUCGAAAGAAGAGGAUGCGGUUAACAAUAGUAGCCGGCUGGAAGUGGGUCACCACUUAUGAAGGUCAGUGAACGGGGCAACCGCCGAAAUCGAUGGAUCAGUGACCGAUUCAUCCGUUGGGCCUUGGUUGAAUAAAUCAUGGACUGUCGCAGCUAGAAUAGUUGCGGGGCGCUAUCGACGAU